UCCCUGAUGCCUAUAUAACAAAAAUAAAUAAACAAAAGUGACAUUUACAAUAUUUAUGAGCCUAACCAAAUACCAUAAAACAAAAUAAGCAACAAGGAUCUCACACUGUUCAGGAAAAAUGAAAAUCAUCCAUGUGUGUUUAGAACUAGAAGCACUUAGUAAAGCUUCUCUUUCAAGAACUAACAUAUAGGCUUUCUUGACAUUUUUUGUCAUGGACGAAACUCAGACAUGCCUGUAAUGUGAAAGUUAUAUGAAUAAGGAAGAAGAGAGAUGAAGAGACAUAAGCUCAAAGAAAUAAGGCCCACAAUCACCCCAAAGUAAUAAACACAUUACAAGACAUAUAUGUCAUACUUUCAUAUCCUUAACUUGUCGAUCCUUCUAUAUGCAUAAGUUAGUAAUCCUUGAAUAACAACAUCUUUUCUCUUCUCCAACAACUCUUCUAGUUAAAAUACAUCAAUAUGCUUAAUUCAGUUUCUCUUUGAAUAAGAUAAUGUUACAUCACCUAAUCAAACGAAAAGAUCCUUUCACUCCUCUAUAUACAAGGCUACCAUUUUGUCCAAUUUCAUAAAAAACAAUUCAGAUUCAAAGUAAUAGUUUCAACACCAACUUUGGCACACUCAAGAGAAAUAUGGGUGUUUCUUUUCUUUCACCACUUAAACUCCUAGUCCUUUUGGUAAUAAUUAAAUUUUGCAUAUUUGAUCUUGCACUAACGAGCACAACCAGGCACUACCAUUUUGAUGUACUUCCUUAAAAGACAAAGGAAAUGUGUUACCAUCAUAACCACUCCAUUCCCUAUGCCUCAACAUAAAAAGAGACACAAUCCCACCUAAGUCACCUCACAACAUUUACUAAUCUUAGUUUCUCUAUAUAGUUUAGUUAAUUUGGAAAUAUAUUACCAAAUAGGAGUUGUAAAAAUAGAACAUGAUGUGGGGAUUAAAAAGUCAGAAAUACAAUACCUACAUAAGUUCAUUACUUUGAAUUGAAGAAGACAAUUUUGCAUAUAAAGCAGUCAUAAAGGUUGUCUUACCUAUGCCUCUCAUGCCCCAUAUUCCAAUUAGAGCUCAACCUUCUUCCUCAAAUGUGCAAGGUCUACUCUACAUUAUACAACACAUUGAUGAUUUGGAGAUUAACCAUUGGAAGUUUAGAGAGUGAAAGGAUGAGAUAGAAAUGUAUUAUUGGUUUUAGUAUUAGUAACAUUUCAAAACACAGGAACUUCAAUCCAUAAAUCUCAAAUAAGGAUCUUACCAUGUUUCAAUCAAAAUUUUAAAUCUUUUGAAUCUGAAUCUGAAUCUAAAACUAAAAAUAAUUUCAUUAAUUAUUGCAGAGAAGUAACCAAGUUGAAGCAGAGAAGUAACCAAGUUGAAGCAGUGACGAUCAAACCUACAGUUUGUGUAUCAGAGCAAAACCUGGUCGUGAAGGACCGAACCAUUCUAAGUGGCAUGCCGAAAACAUGAUAGAGACAUCAGCGACAACAUCAUGACGAUCAAAUCGACGGAAACGACAACAACCACGUCGUUUAAUUUGUGGAACACUAAAAGACAUUCGGUUCAUGACAUGCUUCUCGUUUAAGCUAUGGUUGAAGGAGAAUGACAAGUUCCAAAACAAAGAGGAACCUAAUUUGAUCUAUACAUCCGUAAGUAUGUACAAUC
rnacentral:lncRNA from 1 species